AUUGAACGCUGGCGGCAGGCCUAACACAUGCAAGUCGAACGGUAACAGGAAGAAGCUUGCUUCUUUGCUGACGAGUGGCGGACGGGUGAGUAGUGUCUGGGAAACUGCCUGAUGGAGGGGGAUAACUACUGGAAACGGUAGCUAAUACCGCAUAAUGUCGCAAGACCAAAGAGGGGGACCUUCGGGCCCCUUGCCAUCGGAUGUGCCCAGAUGGGAUUAGCUAGUAGGUGGGGUAACGGCUCACCUAGGCGACGAUCCCUAGCUGGUCUGAGAGGAUGACCAGCCACACUGGAACUGAGACACGGUCCAGACUCCUACGGGAGGCAGCAGUGGGGAAUAUUGCACAAUGGGCGCAAGCCUGAUGCAGCUAUGCCGCGUGUAUGAAGAAGGCCUUCGGGUUGUAAAGUACUUUCAGCGGGGAGGAAGGGAGUAAAGUUAAUACCUUUGCUCAUUGACGUUACCCGCAGAAGAAGCACCGGCUAACUCCGUG
rnacentral:rRNA from 1 species